rnacentral:rRNA from 1 species
GAUGAACGCUGGCGGCGUGCCUAAUACAUGCCAGUCGAGCGAACAGACGAGGAGCUUGCUCCUCUGACGUUAGCGGCGGACGGGUGAGUAACACGUGGAUAACCUACCUAUAAGACUGGGAUAACUUCGGGAAACCGGAGCUAAUACCGGAUAACAUGUUGAACCGCAUGGUUCAACAGUGAAAGACGGUCUUGCUGUCACUUAUAGAUGGAUCCGCGCCGCAUUAGCUAGUUGGUAAGGUAACGGCUUACCAAGGCAACGAUGCGUAGCCGAUCUGAGAGGGUGAUCGGCCACACUGGAACUGAGACACGGUCCAGACUCCUACGGGAGGCAGCAGUAGGGAAUCUUCCGCAAUGGGCGAAAGCCUGACGGAGCAACGCCGCGUGAGUGAAGAAGGUCUUCGGAUCGUAAAACUCUGUUAUUAGGGAAGAACAAAUGUGUAAGUAACUAUGCACGUCUUGACGGUACCUAAUCAGAAAGCCACGGCUAACUACGUG